rnacentral:lncRNA from 1 species
AGAGGAUAGGAUAAGUGUGGUAACCAGUAGUAUAGGGCUCUGAUCAAUCAGAGAAGAAAGCCCACCUAGAGCUGUUGGUGGGCUUUAGCCAUGGCUGCCAGUGUGACAUAUAGCUUCCCUACAAGCCGAGCCUUGUCAUAGGUUGCACUUCCAGAUACCUCUGUUUCCUGUCCUCAGAAUCCUUUAAGUUGUGGGGCUGAGGUCACCCAGGAAUUUCAGGUCUAGCUCCACCUGGCUCCAACCACAGGUUUCCGUUUUAACUACUAACUACCUGGUGCAGUUUCAAAACCUGGUGCUCAAAAUGUGUGCGGUGUUUUGAUCUCUGCUGAGCAGGGGCUGUGCAUCUAUCUAGUUCUUUCCAGGAAAUUGAUGAGAUUCUGUAAUGGGGGGAUUCGAGGGCAGUUCUGAACAAGAGCCAUUGGGUCAAAGGCGGCAAGGACCACUUCUCUCUUCUCCACUUCACCAUGGCCUUACUUGCUGCCCCUACCCAUGGCUGUGGUAGAAGAGUCGCACUAUUCUUCUCUGAUAGCCUGGGCUAAAAGACCCAGUGAGGAAGAAUGAUGGAGUCAUCCACUCUGCUGGGAUGACCCAACAUGUGGUCCAAGAACCAGGACUCUCUCUUUCCUAGAGUCCCAGUUCUGCCACCAUGGUGGUAGAUUGCCAGGCUGUGGGGCCUCAGGUUCCGAGAAUGGGUUUUGCCUAUGGUCUGACCUUGCCCCUGCCCACCUCCAACCUUUAGAUGUUCUAGAACGUGGCAAUCUGGUCUGCAAUCUGACGUACAGGGUGGGAGGUGGGAGCCCCACUUUACCUUUUUCUUUAGAAGCUCAGAUGACUUUUGUUUGGGGUAGAAUGGUGUUUGGUGAGUAUAUUAGUCAGGGUCCUCUAGAGUCACAGGACUUAUGGAUAGUCUCUAUAUAGUAAAGGAAUUUAUUGAUGACUUACAGUCUGUAGUCCAAUUCCCAACAAUGGUUCAGUAGUGAAUGGAAGUCCAAGGAUCUAGCAGUUGCUCAGUUCCACAUGGCAAGUAGGCCAAAGAGCGAGAGAGGCAACUCCCUUAUUCCAAUGUCCUUAUAUGGCCUCCAGCAGAAGGUGUAGCCCAGAUUAAAGGUGUGUGCCACCACACCUUUAAUCCCAAUGACCUUGAACUCAGAGAUCCCGCUGUCUUAAUCUUCUGGAGUGCAUAGCCACUAUGCCUCAAGAUCUCCAUACCAAGAUCCAGGUCAGAAACUUCUAUCUUCUAGCCUCCAGAUAAGGGUCACUGGUGAGCCUUCCAAUUCUGGAUUGUAGUUCAUUCCAGAUAUAGUCAAGUUGACAACCAGGAAUAGACACUACAGUGAGCCAGAUAUGAAUGGGAGGAAAAUGGGAGGGAGGAAGGGAAGGGUGACAGGAGGGUGGUGGGCAAAGGCGUAUUUGCUGGCAUUUUGUGAGCAUGCUACUCCAGUGCCCCACACCUUAGUAAGACCUAAGGGCAUGUUAGUGCUCUAGCUGGGCCCAGCCUGGCCAGAAUUCUAAGGCUUCUCCUCUGUGUCCUCAUCAACUGUAGAUCUAAGAUUCAUCUUCCUUAUUGACAUUCCCCAGCCCUUCGCAGAAUUUAGGGUGCUGAGACUUGGGUUGACACCAUUGUGGCUGCUCCUCCAUUAAAUUUUGAGGUGCUCUGUAUGCUUGUGUGAACUUGUGUGUGUGUGUGUGUGUGUGUGCGCGCGCGCGCGCUGGGGAGAGGUGUCUGUGUGAAUGAUCUAUGGAAAGAAGUCAGAGCAUAGACACCAGAUAAAGAUGGUGCUUAACCUUCCUCCCAGAAGGUAGCCAGACCCUCUUACCAUCCAUUCCUCUGCCCCCACCCGACCCUGCACUGCUCCAGCUCCCAAAGAACCAAACUGGGAAAUGUCCCUUUACUACCCCUCCUGGUAUGUGGUUGAGAGCAAUUCUGUUCUCCUUCCCCCUUGUAAGCUGGGAGUGAAUCCCAUGGCUGGCCCGCAUUUGUUGAAUCCAGGUCAGCAGGGUUUACUCCUGGGCUAAAGAACUGAGUACUUCUUGUUUGAGUCUGUGGUAGAAUGUAGAGGAAAUGUUCUGGACUAGUACUAGUUGGGAUGACUGAGUUUACCCAUUCUAAGGGCUGUGGGAUAGUAACACUCCAUUGUCAGAUCCUAGCAAAUCACAGAAGCCCCACAUGGGACAGCCCCAGCAAGACAGCCUUGAGGGAGACAACAUCCUUGGUGCGUUGGGCCAUGUACCGCGAGGCCUCUCCAGAGUUAGUGGUGCUCAUACACGUGUGGCUAAGGAACACAGUGUCCACUGGGCUCAGAGAAGCUGCGCAUGCCCGAGCAUGGGAGGAUGGUUUGGAGAAUGCUUGGAAACAACCCUCAGCUUCCCAUGAAGCUCUUAUUUCUGGGGUGUUCCUCAGAGGCAGGUAGGUGUCCUCUGAAGGCAGGUAGGUGUCCUUUGAAGGCAGGUAGGUGUCCUCUGAAGGCAGGUAGGUGUCCUCUGAAGGUUUCCGGCACGACGUAGUCACCCAGACUGUCCUGCAUCACCCAGAAAAAUAUGAGGCACCUGGGAGUCGUUCUUCAUUCCCAGGGAGGUCAGGCCACAUUUAAAGAGGCCCUUUCGGAAACCCCGUGGAAUCUUGUAUAUAAGCCUCUCAUUUGUAUUUUACAAGUUUUCUUUCUUGGUCUGUUUUAAGUAUAUAAAUGGUGCUUAGUACCAAUGUUGGUCUGAGGUAACAUUCUGACUCUAUUUACUCCUGUGUGACACGUGGCUGCCAAGUGGGGGCCAAACACGGUGCUCAACUUAAAUCACAGAAUUUUAUCUGACAACAGCCAUCGAUGCAUUUUCGUUCUGUAUAGCAAAAACUGACUCCUUAUUUUCGUAACUUAUUAAAGUGUCUGUGGUUUU